GUGAGGAGCCAGAAACCUGGUUUCUAAAUGUCUGGGAGCCCUGUGGAAGUCUAAGGGCUGAAGGGGCCCAAGCAGAAGAGCUGGUUUGUCUGUGAGUUGCCCUCUUCUUGCAUGAUGGAACACCUGGACUUGGAAGUGGUGAUAAUAAUAGUUCAUAUUCAUACACCUUUGUCAUGGUAACUCGGCCUUGGAAUAAAAUAAUUUAAGAUUU